UACAGAGGUGCCAAGCGUUUAGGCGGAAUCACUGGGCUUAAAGCGCGCGUAGGCGGAUGUUUAAGUGUCUUGUGAAAUCCCCAGGCUCAACCUGGGAACUGCGUCCGAUACUGGAUGGCUUGAAUCCGGGAGAGGGAUGUGGAAUUCCAGGUGUAGCGGUGAAAUGCGUAGAUAUCAAGUGGAACACCAGUGGCGAAGGCGAAUCCCUGGAAAAUACCUGACACUGAGGCACGAAAGCUAGGGGAGCAAACAGG
rnacentral:rRNA from 1 species